rnacentral:rRNA from 2 species
UUGAAAUCUGGCCCCCUCCACGGGGGUCCGAGUUGUAAUUUGCAGAGGAUGCUUCUGGCGCGGCGCCUUCCGAGUUCCCUGGAACGGGACGCCACAGAGGGUGAGAGCCCCGUCCGGUCGGACGCCUAGCCUGUGUGAAGCACCUUCGACGAGUCGGGUAGUUUGGGAAUGCUGCCCUAAAUGGGAGGUAUAUGUCUUCUAAAGCUAAAUACCGGCCAGAGACCGAUAGCGCACAAGUAGAGUGAUCGAAAGAUGAAAAGCACUUUGAAAAGAGGGUUAAACAGUACGUGAAAUUGUUGAAAGGGAAGCGCUCAUGACCAGACUUGGGCCCGGGGGAUCACCCGGCGUUCUUUUCGCCGGGGCACUUCGCCGGCUGCCCAGGCCAGCAUCAGUUCGCGGCGGGGGACAAAGGCUUCGGGAACGUGGCUCCCUACGGGGAGUGUUAUAGCCCGCUGCGCAAUGCCCUGCCGCGGACUGAGGUUCGCGCUUCCGCAAGGAUGCUGGCGUAAUGGUCAUCAGCGACCCGUCUUGAAACACGGACCAAGGAGUCGUCUUCGUAUGCGAGUGUUCGGGUGUCAAACCCCUACGCGCAAUGAAAGUGAACGCAGGUGAGAGCUUCGGCGCAUCACCGACCGAUCCUGAUGUUCUCGGAUGGAUUUGAGUAAGAGCAUACGGGGCCGGACCCGAAAGAAGGUGAACUAUGCCUGUAUAGGGUGAAGCCAGAGGAAACUCUG